GAUGAACGCUAGCGGCAGGCCUAACACAUGCAAGUCGAGGGGCAGCACGGAUUGCUUGCAAUCUGGUGGCGACCGGCGCACGGGUGCGUAACGCGUAUACAACCUACCUUUUGGAGGGGAAUAGCCCAGAGAAAUUUGGAUUAAUACCCCAUAGUAUAUAGGAAUCUCCUGAUUUUUAUAUUAAACAUUUAUGGCCAUUAGAUGGGUAUGCGUCCUAUUAGCUAGUUGGUGUGGUAACGGCACACCAAGGCUACGAUAGGUAGGGGCCCUGGAAGGGGGGCCCCACACACUGGUACGGAGACACGGACCAGACUCCUACGGGAGGCAGCAGUGAGGAAUAUUGGACAAUGGGCGAGAGCCUGAUCCAGCCAUGACGGGUGCAGAAAGACUGCCCUAUGGGUUGUAAACUGCUUUUACAGAGGAAGAACCACCCCCACGUGUGGGGGUUUGACGGUACUCUGCGAAUAAGGAUCGGCUAACUCCGUGCCAGCCGCCGCCGUAA
rnacentral:rRNA from 1 species